rnacentral:rRNA from 1 species
AAAUAGAACUUUGCAGAGAGAGUUAACAGGGCGUGAAACCGUUAAUUGGCAAACGAAUCGGAGCCACGAAGUCGUUUCGUUGUUUAGCCUGGACCAGGUUCAACUGGGAUCGAGAGGUCCCGGUGUAGUCCUGGGUCUGGCCAAACCUUGUAAGCGUACACUGCAACCAGUUAGACGAUCAGCAGUGGGCACAGUGGUUGGGGCCAGCCAGCAAUGGAUGGUCACUUCUACGAAGCAAUUGUUUGCGUAAGUUAGUAGUAGCGCGGUCGUGCCUCGGCGCUUCUCGUGUUGCUGGGCUUGCGUGAGUGAACUACAGCUGAAUACUGACUGGCGAAAUGAAAAUCGCCCGCAAGGGUGUUAGAGACAAAGCAGCCAGCCACAUGUGGGCCUACACGGUCGACUGUUAGGUCUAAGCUUGGCGUUCUUGAAUUCAGACUUGCUUGCUACCAGUGGGGCAACCCCUGGUGCUUGUACAGCUUCUGUCUAAUCGGGCGUCGACUUGGCUUGGCAUCGUUCGGACGUGCUACGAUAGGGUCCGCAUGCGAGUUGGUUCGCAAUGCGAAUUGGCAGUGAGUAGGUCGGCUUUCCGAACGA